GCCGGGAUAGCUCAGUUGGUAGAGCAGAGGACUGAAAAUCCUUGUGUCGGGAGUUCAAAUCUCCCUCCUGGCA
rfam:Limnoraphis robusta CS-951 contig084, whole genome shotgun sequence.